rnacentral:rRNA from 1 species
GUGCCAGCAGCCGCGGUAAUACGGGGGGUGCAAGCGUUAUUCGGAAUCAUUGGGCGUAAAGGGCGCGUAGGCGGCCCCUUAAGUCAGAUGUGAAAGCCCUCAGCUUAACUGAGGAAGUGCAUUUGAAACUAAGGGGCUUGAGUAUGGGAGAGGGAAGCGGAAUUCCUGGUGUAGCGGUGAAAUGCGUAGAUAUCAGGAGGAACACCGGUGGCGAAGGCGGCUUCCUGGACCAAUACUGACGCUGAGGCGCGAAGGCGUGGGGAGCAAACAGGAUUAGAUACCCCCGUAGUCC